rnacentral:rRNA from 1 species
UGGCUUAGAAGCAGCCAUCAUUUAAAGAAAGCGUAAUAGCUCACUGGUCGAGUCGGCCUGCGCGGAAGAUGUAACGGGGCUAAACCAUGCACCGAAGCUGCGGCAGCGACGCUUAGGCGUUGUUGGGUAGGGGAGCGUUCUGUAAGCCGUUGAAGGUGGCCUGUGAGGGUUGCUGGAGGUAUCAGAAGUGCGAAUGCUGACAUAAGUAACGAUAAAGCGGGUGAAAAGCCCGCUCGCCGGAAGACCAAGGGUUCCUGUCCAACGUUAAUCGGGGCAGGGUGAGUCGACCCCUAAGGCGAGGCUGAAAAGCGUAGUCGAUGGGAAACAGGUUAAUAUUCCUGUACUUGGUGUUACUGCGAAGGGGGGACGGAGAAGGCUAGGCUAGCCGGGCGACGGUUGUCCCGGUUUAAGCGUGUAGGGGGUGUGACCUGGUAAAUCCGGUUACAUAUCAACCCUGAGGCGUGAUGACGAUGCACUACGGUGCAGAAGUAGUUGAUGCCCUGCUUCCAGGAAAAGCCUCUAAGCUCUAGGUAACAUUGAAUCGUACCCCAAACCGACACAGGUGGUCAGGUAGAGAAUACCAAGGCGCUUGAGAGAACUCGGGUGAAGGAACUAGGCAAAAUGGUGCCGUAACUUCGGGAGAAGGCACG